CUCUGAUUUUACUCACUGGAGUAUUUCACUGAUGAAAAAAAAAAAUCCAUUUGGAUGAAGAAUCUGUCUCUUUGUGAGAUAAUAAAUAGUGAUAACAUCUCCAAUGUCUGAGUAAUAAAUUUUAAUUUAUUGGUGAUUAGAAAAUACCUAGAUAGGUGCCAGAUCCAGUCAAUGUAAGAUGUGGCUAGGUUUUCCUGUGAUCCUAUUCGAUAUCCCUCCCCAGUUCCAUUACUAAACCAGCAGAGCAUUUUUUAUGUAUAUAUUUUUGGUAUGACUUUGAAUCUAAGUAUUUUUAGAGUUUAUUAAAAUGCUAUCCUAUAGGAAGGCUUUUCGUAUUUUGAAAAGAAAAGAGAAGUCUUCCAAAAUAUUCUUUAUCAAUUUCAGAAAUGGGAAAACUGAAGAACAGGAGCAGCAGAUGUAGCUGCCUUUUGAGGACCUCUUCCACCUGCAGAAGCAUCCCUUCCAUCUACCAACUGAUAUUUGUGAUUCAGCAAAUUUGGCAGGACUGUUCCAUCCUUUGUGAAUUUUUGGCAGUCAAAAUAUCAAGUUCUAAGAAGGAAGAACAAAUUUGAAUAAGGGUCAGCAUGAUUGAGAAACUCAAGAAGAGAAGCUCUAGAGGACACAAGAUGUUUCUGAGCUGAGAACUCACCAGGCUACAUUGCAGGUCUCUGGUUACAUUAGGAUAGACCUCUGUAUGGCAUCAACAGAGAGGUAAGUGAAAAGAAAAUGAGAGGAGAAAAGAAUGUCUGGCAUAGGAGAAAAAAUACUUACAGACCUACAGAAGCAAAUAAACAUCUCAGAAUAGUGCUGUCUUUAGAUGAA
rnacentral:lncRNA from 12 species